rnacentral:rRNA from 1 species
AUGGAGGACAUGGUAGAUGAGUACCUAUAUCUACUUGGUCAGGACCGUGAUAUAGGGUGUUGCUUUUACGUGAAGAAAGGGUUAAGAAAACCAAGAUCUCUGCUUUCUCUGAACCGGAUAGCUUUCAAGGUGAAACAAAUAGAGAAAGACCUCACACACCAGUCAGAGACUAAAAACCGUUGGCUUCCCAUGAUAAACACCGGGGAUCCUAGCAGCUCGAAUUACAUUGUAAAGAGGUCCCAAGAUCUAGCGAACACUUCACGAUCCCUUGAUGAAGAAGAUCUAGUCGGGAUGGAUAAAAGCCGAGAACAACUUGAGCAAUUGUUGGCAGGUGAUGAUUUGGAGCGCGUUGUGAUAGCCCUGCUUGGAAUGGGAGGACUUGGCAAAACAACUUUGGCUGCAAAUGUAUAUAGGAAGGAGAGACAAAAGUUCCAAUGUCACGCCUGGGUCUCCAUAUCCCAAACUUAUUUUACAGAAGAUAUCUUAAGGAACAUAAUCAAAGAACUUUUCAAACAUGAAGUUGGUGUUCCAUCUAACAUUGCGACAAUGGACAUCACAUGCCUUGAAGAGACACUGAAGACAUUUCUAAAGCAACAAAAGUAUUUGAUCAUAUUGGAUGAUGUUUGGAAUCCACAGGCAUUUGAUGGCUUGUCUAGAGCCCUUAUUCAUAAUGAUAAAGGCAGUAGAGUAAUAAUCACAACAAGGCAAGGGGAUGUUGCUGCACUUGCCUCUCGAGGACAUAUCUUAACACUAGAAGCUUUACCAGAAGAGAAGGCACGUGAUCUCUUUUGUAGGAAAGCCUUUCCAAGAGAUACAAAUUAUGAAUGUCCUGCCGAGUUGAAGUCUUUGUCAGCAGAAAUUGUUUCCAAGUGCAAAGGCUUACCUCUUGUUAUUGUUUUAGUCGGCAGCCUCUUGCGUGUGCGUGAGAAAACUGUCGAAGAAUGGAGAAGAAUAAAUGACCAAUUGAGUUGGGAGCUAAUUAAUAAUUCGAGGCUUGAUCACAUAAGGAAUAUUUUACACCUGAGCUUCAUCUACCUUCCAACACACUUGAAAAGUUGCUUCUUGUACUGCAGCUUAUUUCCAGAAGACUAUCUUUUUAAGAGGAAACAUCUUGUACGGUUAUGGACAGCAGAGAUGUUCAUCGAGGAGAGGGGUGAAAGCACAUUAGAAGAAGUAGCAGAAGGCUGUCUGAAGGACUUGAUUGAUAGAAACCUGCUACAACUUGUUAAAAGGAACAGUUUUGGUAGGAUGAAGGCAUUCAGAAUGCACGACAUCUUACGUGAAUUGGCGGUUGAAUUGUGCCAUAAGAACUGUUUUGGUGUCACAUACAAGGAUGAUUGUGGGGUGUCUCUUGAGACGGAUGGACGUCGAUUGGUACUGCAUAGACCAAAGAAGGAUAUUCAGCUGCCUUUUUCCAGUAUACACCGACUUCGUACGAUCAUUACUCUGAAUGCAUGCAUGGUAUCAUUCACUCUACUACAUAUGCUAUGUAAGAAGUCGAGAUAUAUGACGGUGCUGGAAUUAAGUGGUCUGCCCAUCGAGAAGAUUCCAGAUGAUAUUGGACAUCUUUUUAAUCUCCGCCAUUUAGGUUUGCGUAAUUCAAAAGUGAAGAUGCUUCCAAAAUCCAUCGAGAAGCUCUCAAAUUUGUUGACACUAGACCUUCAUGGAUCAGACAUACGUGAGUUGCCUAGUUGGAUUACCAAACUGAAGAAGCUCCGACACUUAUUUGUUGAGAAAAAAUUUCAGCCAUAUAGAGAGAUUCAAAGUAACAAUGGUGUGCGUAUCCCCAAUGGUCUUGGAAAUCUAACAAACUUACAGACACUACAAGCAUUGGAAGCGCAAGCUACAUCUGUUAGACAGUUAGGGGAGCUAACACAACUAAGAAGCUUGAGGUUAUGGAAUGUCAAGGAAAUUGACUGUAGAUGCAUUAGUGAUUCUCUAGUUCAGAUGCGACAUUUGUCCAACCUAUAUGUGAGUGCAAGUGAUGACAACGAGAUUCUGUUGCUGAAUUUACGCCUGCCAAGCCUGCAAAAGUUAUCUUUGAUAGGACGGCUAGUGAGAAGAACAUUGCACAAGUCUCCUCUCUUCCAAGCUGUCGAAGGGCAAAACUUGUAUUCAUUGGCUCUAUCUUGGUCACAACUGACAGAAGACCCCCUUUCAUACUUAUCUCCAUUGUCCAAUUUGACAUAUCUACAGUUCACCAGAGCAUACACUGGAGAGAAGUUGACAUUUCUCACUGGAUGGUUUCCCAAGCUAAAGUUUCUCCAUCUAAGAGACAUGCCUAAUUUGAAUAGGCUAGAGAUAGAACAAGGUACCAUGGUGAGCCUGGAAAGAUUAGCACUAGUCAACCUCGAGAGCAUGAUGGAGGUUCCACUUGGCAUCAAGUUCCUCAUGCCCCUCCAAUAUGUAGGCUUCCACGAAAUCACCGGUUACUUCUUGAUGUUGCUCCAGCAAUGUUCUGCGAUUCGAGGGACGCAAUGGGGGUAUAGUCUCCGACGUUGA